rnacentral:rRNA from 1 species
UACGAAGGGGGCUAGCGUUGUUCGGAAUCACUGGGCGUAAAGCGCACGUAGGCGGCUUUCUAAGUCAGGGGUGAAAUCCUGGAGCUCAACUCCAGAACUGCCUUUGAUACUGGAGAGCUUGAGUCCGGAAGAGGUGAGUGGAACUCCGAGUGUAGAGGUGAAAUUCGUAGAUAUUCGGAAAGAACACCAGUGGCGAAGGCGGCUCACUGGUCCGGUACUGACGCUGAGGUGCGAAAAGCGUGGGGGAGCAAAC